AUUUGGGGUCUCGUUCCCUGAGGGUUGUGGGGUUUGGGGUUGAUCCCCCUUGGGGUUAUUUAGGGCUGGAAUUGCCUCUUCUUCGUCCUGGUUCAGGAGAGUUUUCCAGGGUUUUUUUCAGGUUUUUCCGGGAUGUUCCUAAGGUUUGGGAAUUCCCUUGGAGCCUGUGGAAUUGGACCCUGGAUUUGGGGUCUCGUUCCCUGUGGGUUGUGGGGUUUGGGGUGAUCCCCCCACCGGGCUGGAGGUGCCUCUU